rnacentral:rRNA from 1 species
UGCUUGCUAUUCGGCGUCGAGCGGCGGACGGGUGAGUAAUGCUUGGGAAUAUGCCUUUUGGUGGGGGACAACAGUUGGAAACGACUGCUAAUACCGCAUAAUGUUUACGGACCAAAGCGGGGGACCUUCGGGCCUCGUGCCAAAAGAUUAGCCCAAGUGAGAUUAGCUAGUUGGUGGGGUAAAGGCCUACCAAGGCGACGAUCUCUAGCUGGUUUGAGAGGAUGAUCAGCCACACUGGGACUGAGACACGGCCCAGACUCCUACGGGAGGCAGCAGUGGGGAAUAUUGCACAAUGGGGGAAACCCUGAUGCAGCCAUGCCGCGUGUGUGAAGAAGGCCUUCGGGUUGUAAAGCACUUUCAGUCGUGAGGAAAGGUUAGUAGGUAAUAUCUGCUAGCUGUGACGUUAGCGACAGAAGAAGCACCGGCUAACUCCGUGCCAGCAGCCGCGGUAAUACGGAGGGUGCGAGCGUUAAUCGGAAUUACUGGGCGUAAAGCGUGCGUAGGCGGUUUGAUAAGCCAGAUGUGUAAUCCCGGGGCUUAACCUCGGAACUGCAUUUGGAACUGUUUGACUAGAGUACUGUAGAGGGUGGUGGAAUUUCCAGUGUAGCGGUGAAAUGCGUAGAGAUUGGAAGGAACAUCAGUGGCGAAGGCGGCCACCUGGACAGAUACUGACGCUGAGGCACGAAAGCGUGGGGAGCGAACAGGAUUAGAUACCCUGGUAGUCCACGCCGUAAACGAUGUCAACUAGCCGUUUGUGGUUUUAAACCGUGAGUGGCGUAGCUAACGCGCUAAGUUGACCGCCUGGGGAGUACGGUCGCAAG